rnacentral:rRNA from 1 species
AACAACUUUCAGCAACGGAUGUCUAGGUUCCCACAACGAUGAAGAACGCAGCGAAAUGUGAUACGUAGUGCGAAUUGCAAAACCUUGUGAAUCAUCGAAAUUUUGAACGCAUAUUGCGCUUCCAGGAUCUUCCUAGGAGCAUGCAUACCUGAGUG